rnacentral:lncRNA from 1 species
GAGAAGGAGGAGGAGGGGGAGGCCACAAACUCAACAGUCCCCAGGAUCACACCUCUGCCUGACACCUACGGGACCCAGUACUAUGGCUAAACCAGGCCUGAACAUGGAGCUGAAUCGCCUGGUCCAGGACCAGCCACCUGGCCAGGAGGGCCCCAGACCUGGCCCCCCAAACCCAGCCGAGCACCUCCCCAAUGUGCCCAGCUACCGUCCCGCAACCACCCGCAUCCCCGUCCUCGUCUCCCGGAGGACAGCCUUGUCCAACUCCAACUUCACCAAGGAGAUCAGGAGCUCCAUCCGUCGCCUGGUACCAGCCACGAAAGAGCACCCAGAGCUCCAGGUGGAAGACACAGAUGCCGAAGCUGGCCCCCUCAUCCCAGAGGAGACGAUCCCGCCACCUGAGAGACCACCAGUGUCUCCCGC